AACUUAAAAAAAAAACAGAGAAACCAAAAAUCAAAAAUCCAAAAUCAGAUUGAGCCAUUCGAUCGGCUGGCUAGUCGCGAGAUGUCGUUACUUUCGCGAACAGACGCCGCCAUGGACGCCACCAUGCGGUUCUGUUUCGCACUCUCGUCCCGCAUUUAUCAUCCGUGUUCUCUUUGUCAGUCCGUGUACAAAAAAGAAAGCCGUGCGAUUCGAGGAGUGUGUUCGGGCAUCGACGAAAUCGUAUGGUAUUUUUACUACGGAGAAAAAAAAAAUCUGCAAUUUUAAACGGAAGGGAAUGGAUGAAAAAAUGUUCGUUUGUGCCGUCGAUAUCCGAAACGCAUGCCCCGACAUUCAUCUUUUUUUGUUUGGCAAAAAACGAAGCUCAAACGAGCAUGCAUGGCUACACGCUAAGUCGACGUGCAGAGCAAACGGAGAUCGCGGAUUAGGCGAUUCCAUUGCGCGUGUUAGCAUAUGUACACUAUCGCCCAUCCGUAUUUGGCCAUGUUCGUUGUAUUGGAAAAACAUAUAAAAUAUAAUUGAAACAAUACAUAUUACAAUACACAAGAUGUAGUUGAAAUAAGAUAAUGAUCUUUAAUAUAAUGUAAUAAGUGUGUAACGAAAUUGUUUAAAGAUUAUUAUAAAAGGUUAAUAAAAAUUUAAAAUUAAUGAACAUCAUAAUCACUGGAUGUUUGAAAAGGGAUAAAAUGAAUCGAAAUAUAGCGAAAAAUCAUAAAGAGUGUAAUAAAAUUACAUCUAAGAAUCACAUGAAAGAAGAUUAAAAAACUUAAAAUCAUUGCUAUACCUCGAAUUAUUAAUUUUUCUAUUGCUUAACGCAUAUCUAUACAUUUUAACACGUCAAUAAUAUUAUUAAUCGAUAGAUUUCUACAAUAUUUACAAUACAUUUACUAUACACGUUAUACUAAGACAUAAUAUACAUAUUUUUAAUCCAAUUUCACCAAGUGGCCAAAUACUUGAGAAUGGUUCAGUAUACGUUCACGCAGUACGUGCAUGUCGCAUGCUGCGCGUAUGGGACGCGCGCAUUCCUUUACGUAUACGGAGGAACAUGCUUCAAAGUAUAGACGAAGACGAGUGGUCUGGUCGAAAAAAGAAACACAAGUAUGUACACGGUAUAAAGUAAUGUACGAAAAAUAAUUUGGCCGAUCAAAGAUACACAGUCAUAACUUGGUCCAAUCCUUAUAGUAAGGCAGUACAUAUUUACGGAUUUGAAAGAGAAAGAGAAAGAGAAAGAGAGAGGCGCGCGCGCGCGCAAAUCAGUACAGAGAAAAAAGAAAAGAGAUAAAGAGAUAGAUAGAUAGAUAGAUAGAUAAAUAAAUAGAUAGAUAGAUAAAUAGAUAGAUAGAUAGAGAAAAAGAGAGAGAGGGAGAGAGAAACGAAGGAAGAAGGAAGAAAAAGAGAAAAGGAACGUGUACAAAGCAUGUGUGAACGAAGUGGCGACAUCGAAUCGAUACGUUUGACAAAGACAUGAGACAAGGUGAACGAAAGUUGGACGGUGAACAUGGGAGUGGUGUCGGCGAGUUGACAUUAAUUCCAAGAAUCGAAAGCAACGUGAUUGGAUGAGACGCGUACGUCGAAUAGACACAAAUGACCAAAAAAAAAAAAAAAAGAGGCGAAGAAUGACAAUGGCAUGAUGACGAUGAUCGAGUUGUGCGUAACCAAGCACAGUGAAUGUCCCAAAAAGUCUGCAAAAUCAUAACUCGACCAAGCAACGGAAACUUUUUUUUUUUUUUUGAUGAACGCUCGAAUUUAACUGCGAAUCGAUAAAUAUUGAUUUUUGAAUCGACGAAUGAAUCGACGAGUGAAAUAAAAAAAAAAAAUUGACGAUCCAUCGUCGAGUCAUUCGAGGAUCUCGAUCGUGAAAAUAAUCUUAUGGAUGUAUUGCACGGAAGCGAGAAAUGCAGAUGAUGAAGAGAGGGCAUCAAGGAUCGAAUGAGGAACGAGCAAUUGCGCGUUCGACGAUGAUAUCACGCGCUAAUCUCAUCCGCCAUCGUGAUGAUCAUCGUCAAUUAUGGUUGAUUAUUGCGAAUAUAAUCUCGGGAAAUCCAAUGUAAACCUUGUGUGUCGAGAACAGAGACCAGGGUCAGGGUUGUUACACCUUACUAUAAGAAAUGGAUUGGAGCGUGUCUGACGAGGCGAAAUGGCAAUCUAAAUGCUAUUAUUUUUUUUUUUAUCAUUAUCUGGCGAAAUGGUAUGUCGGGAUUCGAACGACGAUCCGAAUAUAUAUAUAUUAUAUAUGUAUAUAUAUAUAUAUAUAUAUAUAUUGAAUAUAUAUAUAUACAAAACAUAUAUUAUUUGUAAAAAAAAAAUGCAUCUAGAGAGUAAAUAAAACUGCAAAUACAAUAAUAUAAUAGUGAUUAUAAUAAGAAGGUUUUGCGAGAAGGCCAAGUGAGAGCUCGUAAGGCGCGUAGCGCGUAGCAACAGCCGAGGAUAAUUGCGCGUUUCUUUCUUUUUUUUUUUUUUUUUAAUAUAUAUAAUAAAUCCCGUAUAUGAUAAAACGUUUCGUGCGUAUUGAGUGUGUUCUCUGCCGAUACGUGUCGGAUCUGAAAAAGCACUGGGAUAUAGCGGGAGAACGUUAACAAAGCUCUAAAGGGUUGGUGUCGGUAAGAUGCAAACAACGCAACGCGCGGCACGGUGAGACGGAUUCAGUGGUAUAAGCCGGCGCGGAUCAGACGGAACUUCUUGCGGAUAUAUUUUUGUCCUCGAUGCGAGAGUGAGUGAGAGAGUGAGAGAGUGAAAAAGAGAGAGUGAGUGAGUGAGAGAGAGAGAGAGAAAGAGAGAGAAACUCAUUCCCGCGCGCGUUUAUCCCCAUUCCUUCUGGCCGCGAAAAAAAAAUCGAAUUUUUCGAACAACAAAGUAUCACGCGUGUAAUACGGAGAAACGACGAAGAAUUCGGCCAAACUUCCAGAACAAAAGUUUUUUUGCUUUCUCUCUCGCUACCGCCUAAAAACGUUCUUUUGACGCGUAUACAAAAAGGGAGAGAAAGAAAGAAAAAAAAAGAAAGAAAAAGAAGAAAAAAAAAAGAGAAAAUAACGGGACGAAUUUGGCAAAAUGCUUCGAGCGUCGUGAAGGGUAAACAAUUAUAUGUAAUAUGAACAGUAUAUAAUGACGAUUUGUGCGGCAGACAUCAUACCGACAAAAAAGGAAUAUAUAUAAUAUAUAUAUAUAAACGUGUGUACAUGGAUGUGUUUGGUAUGGUAGGUAAUGUCAGUGUGAAUGGACGAGUGUUGUUUAUGUAUGCGUUGGGUAUGUGAAUAUUUAUAUAUAUAUAGGUAUAUAUAGUAUAUAAAAUAGUACAGAAUAAUAACGGUAAUAAUAAUAAUAAAGUAGAAAUAUUAAUAAUAAUAAUAAUAAUAAUAAUAAUAAUAAUUAAUAAUUUAUAAA